rnacentral:tRNA from 1 species
GCACCCGUAGCUCAGCAGGAUAGAGCAUCGGUUUCCUAAACCGCAGGCCGGGGGUUCGAAUCCCUCCGGGUGCGCCA